CACGCCGUCACGCCGCCGCCUUUCCUCGCUCCCUAUCGCUGCUCCUCCUCGCCGGCGCAGGCUCCGGCGCCUUCUCCUCCCUGGCUGCCCGGUUCCGCGCGUGAUGGUCGCCAUGAAGAGCAAGGAACCCUCGGAUGAGGUGCCCUCGGACCGCGUGCCGCACCUGCCGUGGAUGCGGCACCCCGUCGACAUCGACUCCUUCUCCGGCUACCCCGUCACGACCCUCCCCCGUCUCGACCCAAGAUUGGCUGCGGCAGUGCAGAGAAUAGGAAUCGAAUCCUUCUUCCCAGUUCAGGUAGCGACAUGGCUGGAAACGGUUGGGCCCGGUGCUUUCCAGAGGGAUAUCUGUAUCAACUCCCCGACUGGAUCCGGCAAGACCCUUGCUUAUGCCUUGCCUAUUGUGCAAAUGCUCUCCACUCGGAAAGUAAGGUGCUUGCGUGCCUUGGUCGUGCUACCUACACGGGAUUUAGCAUUGCAGGUUAAAGAGGUUUUUGAUGCUAUUGCUCCUGCUGUGGGAUUGACAGUUGCUUCAGCUGUUGGUCAAUCGUCCAUAGCGGAUGAAAUUUCACUUCUUAUCAGGAAGUCCAAGCAAGGGCUUUACCCAACUCUUGAUGAAGAAUUUGUGGAAAUGGAACCACAGACUCAGGUUGAUAUAUUGGUGGCUACUCCUGGAAGAUUGAUGGAUCAUAUUAACAUGACAAAAGGUUUUAGUCUGGAGCAUCUUCAGUACCUGGUUGUUGAUGAGACGGAUAGAAUGUUAAGAGAGGCAUAUCAGUCCUGGUUGCCAACAGUUAUCCAGUUUACCCGCUCCACCAAUCAAGAUCAUCUCCGGCUUGACACUGCUGGAAAAACUCUACUACAUCCAUUCACUACCAUUAGAAGAUCGGGUGUUGAGCGAGGAUUUAAAGGUAAAUGCUUUCCAAGACUGGUGAAGAUAGUUUGUUCUGCUACACUGACUCAAGAUCCUAGCAAACUUUCUCAACUUGAGUUGCAUCAUCCCUUGCUGUUGAAUAGUGGGAAGAAGCGUUACAGAAUUCCUACAAAGCUGGAGUCAUACAAGCUGGUCUGCACAUCAAACUUAAAGCCACUGUGUCUCAUUGUUCUUCUCCAAGAGUUGCGCGGGGAGAAGUGCUUGGUUUUUACUUCAUCUGUAGAAUCAAGCAAUAGACUAAGCACUUUACUCGGAUUUUUCGAAGACUUGCCCUUUAAGUUUAGUGAAUUUUCACGUUUGCAGCGUGAAUCUGCUCGAAGGAAGACAUUGGCAGCCUUCAAGGAAGGGGAAAUAGAUGUUCUCAUCGGCACAGAUAUAAUGGCUCGAGGAAUACAUAUCGAUGGUUUAAAAUAUGUUAUCAACUAUGAUAUGCCACCGUAUGUGAAAACGUACAUCCACCGAGCAGGUCGUACUGCUAGGGCAGGCGAAUCUGGUUCUUGCUUCACGCUUUUAAGGAAACAUGAGGUCAAAACUUUCGACAAAAUGCUCAAGAAGGCGGAUGAUUCUAGCUGCAGCCUUCGUUCACUACCCGAGGAAUCAAUAGAAAGCCUUCGCCCAACUUUUUCCAUUGCUCUAAAGAAACUGGAAGAAUCUCUACAACCAGAAGCAUCAAAGAAAUCCAACUCAGGAGAUAAAGUGCCAGGUGGUUCUAAAAGAAAGAGAACCAAGCAGACGUGAAGUAACAGAUCAGUUGAAGUUCAAAAAAUUCACCAUAACAUUGGUAAUAUAGAUUCGGAAAUUUGUACCCAGAAAAUUCUGAAGGCUCCAUCCAUCAUUGGCAUCCAAACCAAAAGGGUCUAGCUUGUUGUACCUGUUAAUCCAUUGGUCAUGGCUGCAAUACGCCGCUCACUUUCGUGUUCGGUACAGUGAAUUACUCCUAAUGUUUUCACUAGGGACAGUAUUAUCCUUACCAUCUGUGGUGUCAAUCCACCACUGUGCUUAUAAGUUGACACUCUUCCCCGCAAUUGUAUAAGCCGAUGUAACAUUUUUCCAGUUAUGCUUACACUUGGAAGUGUGUUUUUUUUUUGGAAAUACACUUGAAAUGCUUGUUUCCACUUUACUGUGAGAUAGUUUGUCAAUAUAUCUACUUAGUCUUUUAUACUUC